UCCAGCAAACAUUGACACCAAUUCUUCUAUUUGUUUCAGAUCAGCGAGGAGCUGGAGAAGGUGAAGCAGGAGAUGGAGGACAAGGGCAGCAGCAUGUGUGAUGGAGCCCCGCUGGUGAAAAUCAAACAGAGCCUCACCAAGCUGAAGCAGGAGAUGGUCCAGAUGGACGUGAGGAUAGGCGUGGUCCAGCACACGCUGCUGCAGGCCAAACUCAAAGAGAAGUCCAACAUGACGCGGGACAUGCACGCCACCAACAUCCCCGAGCCCGCCGCCGGGCCCUUGGCUUAGAACCGCCGACGGGACGGGCCCCAGAGCCCUCAGCAGGUUCUGUUCUUCCAGACGGGACG